rnacentral:lncRNA from 1 species
AAAAAAAACAUAACAACAUAAAAUAUUAUUUACAAAAUUUAAGGUAAAUUGACAAAAUAACAAAGUGGAUAAACUAAAAUAAAUAAGUAAAAACAAAAACAGUAACAUAUUAGUUUAAAAAUUAACAAAAAGAAAUAAAAGAAAACAUAUGCAUGAAAGUGGGAAACGUGAAAACAUAUUCAGAAAGCACAACAACAGAAUUGUUCAUCUUCUUCCAAGAACAAUGUUAUGCAACAAAACUUAUCCAACCAUUAAAGUAGAAUGAAAUAUAGCGAAACCGGAUUGAAACUCAAAAAUACAAAACUAUACAUAAACAACAACAGAUAAUUUGUUUGAGUGUUACCGAAACGACGGUGUAAUCGGAGUUAUGAGCUACGGUUUGAGCAAAGCAUGUCGGAGCCGAUCAAAGUUGUCGUCGUGUUAUUAUAGUUGUUGAAAUCAAAACAACAAAGACAUUGCUCCAAGUGACGUAGGUAGAGCUUGUUAACCGUCCAUCAACCGCUUGAAUUCGGCUUGUGUUUAUUCCAACUUUUCAGUGAGAGACGGUUCCCACCAGAGUUUUUCUUAUCUUUUCAGUGAGAGACGGUUCCCACCAGAGAGAGAGGAAACAGAGGAAGUUUGUAUUUUGUUUCUAAAGAAAAAUAAAAAUGACCUCUUGGAAUGAUAGGUGGUUCUUUUCUUUUUAGUGGGGAGUCUCUCCUCACUUUUCU